UUUAAAAUUGGAUCUCUGACGUGCUUGCACUGAAUGAGAUUUUAACACGAAGUGAGUGGCGGACGGGUGAGUAACACGUGGGUAACCUGCCCAGAAGCAGGGGAUAACACCUGGAAACAGAUGCUAAUACCGUAUAACAGAGAAAACCGCCUGGUUUUCUUUUAAAAGAUGGCUCUGCUAUCACUUCUGGAUGGACCCGCGGCGCAUUAGCUAGUUGGUGAGGUAACGGCUCACCAAGGCGAUGAUGCGUAGCCGACCUGAGAGGGUAAUCGGCCACAUUGGGACUGAGACACGGCCCAGACUCCUACGGGAGGCAGCAGUAGGGAAUCUUCCACAAUGGACGCAAGUCUGAUGGAGCAACGCCGCGUGAGUGAAGAAGGGUUUCGGCUCGUAAAGCUCUGUUGUUAAAGAAGAACGUGGGUGAGAGUAACUGUUCACCCAGUGACGGUAUUUAACCAGAAAGCCACGGCUAACUACGUGCCAGCAGCCGCGGUAAUACGUAGGUGGCAAGCGUUAUCCGGAUUUAUUGGGCGUAAAGCGAGCGCAGGCGGUCUUUUAAGUCUAAUGUGAAAGCCUUCGGCUCAACCGAAGAAGUGCAUUGGAAACUGGGAGACUUGAGUGCAGAAGAGGACAGUGGAACUCCAUGUGUAGCGGUGAAAUGCGUAGAUAUAUGGAAGAACACCAGUGGCGAAGGCGGCUGUCUGGUCUGUAACUGACGCUGAGGCUCGAAAGCAUGGGUAGCGAACAGGAUUAGAUACCCUGGUAGUCCAUGCCGUAAACGAUGAUUACUAAGUGUUGGAGGGUUUCCGCCCUUCAGUGCUGCAGCUAACGCAUUAAGUAAUCCGCCUGGGGAGUACGACCGCAAGGUUGAAACUCAAAAGAAUUGACGGGGGCCCGCACAAGCGGUGGAGCAUGUGGUUUAAUUCGAAGCUACGCGAAGAACCUUACCAGGUCUUGACAUCUUCUGCCAACCUAAGAGAUUAGGCGUUCCCUUCGGGGACAGAAUGACAGGUGGUGCAUGGUUGUCGUCAGCUCGUGUCGUGAGAUGUUGGGUUAAGUCCCGCAACGAGCGCAACCCUUAUUACUAGUUGCCAGCAUUCAGUUGGGCACUCUAGUGAGACUGCCGGUGACAAACCGGAGGAAGGUGGGGACGACGUCAAAUCAUCAUGCCCCUUAUGACCUGGGCUACACACGUGCUACAAUGGAUGGUACAACGAGUCGCGAAACCGCGAGGUUUAGCUAAUCUCUUAAAACCAUUCUCAGUUCGGACUGUAGGCUGCAACUCGCCUACACGAAGUCGGAAUCGCUAGUAAUCGCGGAUCAGCAUGCCGCGGUGAAUACGUUCCCGGGCCUUGGGGGACACCAGCCCGUCUAAACCAUGAGACGUUCUGUAAAUG
rnacentral:rRNA from 1 species